rnacentral:sRNA from 1 species
AAACAGGACGCUGAACAAGAACAAAAAGA